rnacentral:rRNA from 1 species
GAAUUGUUCGCAAUGGGCGCAAGCCUGACGACGCAACGCCGCGUGGAGGAUGAAGACCUUCGGGUCGUAAACUCCUUUCGACCGAGAUGAAUACCUGCCGACCUAACACGUCGGCAGGCUGACAGUAUCGAGGGAAGAAGCCCCGGCUCACCCCGUUCCAGCAGCCGCAGUAAUACGGGGGGGGCAAGCGUUGUUCGGAAUUACUGGGCGGAAAGGGUUCGUAGGUGGCCGGCUAAGUCAGACGUGAAAUCCCUCAGCUUAACUGGGGAACUGCGUCUGAGACUGGUCGGCUCGAGUGCAGGAGAGGAACGCGGAAUUCCAGGUGUAGCGGUGAAAUGCGUAGAUAUCUGGAGGAACACCGGUGGCGAAGGCGGCGUUCUGGACUGCAACUGACACUGAGGAACGAAAGCCAGGGGAGCAAACGGG